rnacentral:rRNA from 1 species
AUCGAUGAAGAACGCAGCGAAAUGCGAUAAGUAAUGCGAAUUGCAGAAUUCAGUGAGUCAUCGAAUCUUUGAACGCACAUUGCGCCCUUUAGUAUUCUGAAGGGCAUGCCUGUUCGAGCGUCAUUAUCACUAAUCAAGCCUGGCUUGCUGUUGGGCCUCUUGUCGUUAAAAGACAGGCCCUAAAGAUAAUGACGGUGUUAUUAGAACCCUAGAUGCAACGAGCUUUAACCAGCACGCAUGAUAGUGGCCUUUUAACCCGGUCUUUUUUAACCAAUUUUUAAUGUUGACCUCGGAUCAGGUAGGAAUACCCGCUGAACUUAAGCAUAUCAAUAAGCGGAGGAAAAGAAACCAACAGGGAUUACCUCAGUAACGGCGAGUGAAGCGGUAAUAGCUCAAAUUUGAAAUCUGGCUCUUUCAGGGUCCGAGUUGUAAUUUGUAGAGGAUGUUUCGGGCACAGUUACGGUUUAAAUUUCUUGGAACAGAAUGUCAAAGAGGGUGAGAGUCCCGUCUUGAACCGAUUACUUCGUCCAUGUGAAACUCCUUCGACGAGUCGAGUUGUUUGGGAAUGCAGCUCAAAAUGGGUGGUAAAUUUCAUCUAAAGCUAAAUAUUGGCCAGAGACCGAUAGCGCACAAGUAGAGUGAUCGAAAGAUGAAAAGCACUUUGAAAAGAGAGUUAAACAGUAUGUGAAAUUGUUGAAAGGGAAGCGCUUGCAAUCAGACUUGAGCUUAACAGUUCCCCCUUCGUUCUCGUUGGGUUAUUCUGUUUUGUCCAGGCCAACAUCAGUUCGGGUGGUUGGUUAAAGACUUUAGGAAUGUAUUUACCCUUCGGGGUCGACUUAUAGCCUAGAGUGUCAUGCAGCCUACCUGGAUUGAGGAACGCGCUUCGGCUCGGAUGUUGGCGUAAUGGUUGUAAGCGACCCGUCUUGAAACACGG